rnacentral:hammerhead_ribozyme from 1 species
AUCCAGCUGACGGCCCCCAAAUAGGACGAAAUGCGCAUCCUGGAU